rnacentral:sRNA from 1 species
GUGUUCCCCACGGGCGUGGGGAUGAACCU